AUGUUGCUUCAAUAUAUCCACAUAAUUGUCCCUCCUCAUGAUGCCAUCUGUUUUGUGAAGUGCACCAGUCCCUCCUGCAGCAAAGCACCCCCACAACAUGAUGCUGCCACACCCGUGCUUCACGGUUGGGAUGGUGUUUUUCGGCUUGCAAGCUUGGUGGAGGCUUGCAAGCCGAAAAANNNNNNNNNNUGCAACAGGAAGGCAUGUGGUUCUAUGUGUUCUAUGUUCUGUUGUGGGGCAUUGCAACAGGAAGGCAUGUGGUUCUAUGUGUUCUAUGUUCUGUUGUGGGGCAUUGCAACAGGAAGGCAUGUGGUUCUAUGUGUUCUAUGUUCUGUUGUGGGGCAUUGCAACAGGAAGGCAUGUGGUUCUAUGUGUUCUAUGUUCUGUUGUGGGGCAUUGCAACAGGAAGGCAUGUGUUCUAUGUGUUCUAUGUUCUGUUGUGGGACAUUGCAACAGGAAGGCAUGUGUCUCUACUACUACUGUUACCAGAUAGCUAUUAAGUACCCUAUUCCCUGUAAAGUGUACUAUUUUUGACAGAACACUGUUAAAAAGUAGUGCACUAUAAAGGAAAUAUGGUGACAUUUGGGACGCAAGGAUGUGUAGCAUCUCUCCAGCCGUAUCUCCUGCUACACAUCUCAACACUGUGGCUUUUCUGAUAAUGGAUGUGUAGCAUCUCUCCAGCCGUAUCUCCUGCUACACAUCUCAACACUGUGGCUUUUCUGAUAAUGGAGGUGUAGCAUCUCUCCAGCCGUAUCUCCUGCUACACAUCUCAACACUGUGGCUUUUCUGAUAAUGGAGGUGUAGCAUCUCUCCAGCCGUAUCUCCUGCUACACAUCUCAACACUGUGGCUUUUCUGAUAAUGGAGGUGUAGCAUCUCUCCAGCCGUAUCUCCUGCUACACAUCUCAACACUGUGGCUUUNNNNNNNNNNCUGUCUGUGACAGGUUGUCUUGUGACUGUCUGGGUGGUGGUCAUGUAAAUACAGUCCCUGUUGGCUGUCUGUGACAGGUUGUCUUGUGACUGUCUGUGACAGGUUGUCUUGUGACUGUCUGUGACAGGUUGUCUUGUGACUGUCUGUGACAGGUUGUCUUGUGACUGUCUGGGUGGUGCAGUGCACUCUGACAGUGUUAGUGAAGCACAACUGUCUCUGGCUGAAUUACCCUGCAAGAGGGAGAAAUCACAAAGCAGGAGGGGAAGAGGAGAGUAGACAGGGGGGAGAGGAGGGGGGGGACAUGUGGCUAGACAGAGGAGGACAGAAGUGAGGAGGGGAGGGGGGUUGGUGUGGGUGACUUGAUAUAAAAAAAAGCCUCUGCUUCAUUUCAUAUGGGGCGAGACUGAGGCACCUCUAAUUUAAUCAGCCUAGCAUGUCUCCCACACACAGACGUCUAGUUUACACAGACACGCGCGCACACAGACACGCGCGCACACAGACACGCGCGCACACAGACACGCGCGCACAUAGACACNNNNNNNNNNGUGUAGCAUCUCUCCAGCCGUAUCUCCUGCUACACAUCUCAACACUGUGGCUUUUCUGAUAAUGGAGGUGUAGCAUCUCUCCAGCCGUAUCUCCUGCUACACAUCUCAACACUGUGGCUUUUCUGAUAAUGGAGGUGUAGCAUCUCUCCAGCCGUAUCUCCUGCUACACAUCUCAACACUGUGGCUUUUCUGAUAAUGGAGGUGUAGCAUCUCUCCAGCCGUAUCUCCUGCUACACAUCUCAACACUGUGGCUUUCCUGAUAAUGGACUGAAUAAUUCCCUCCCUCUGUAUGACUAAUCUCUAGGGCUGUUCCUUCAUCUUGGCAUGUAUCUGUCAGAAUUGGGUUUCAAAAAGCAUUUGUUUUCUUUCAAGCUCUCAUCUAGCGAUCACACGCACUCAGUUCUGACUGACAGUUCACUGUAGCUUUGUGUCUCUUCAGUUGUGAUCUCCUGCUGGCCUUGACUGAUGCAUCUUGCCACAAUAUGAUCGCUGCAGCAGUGUGAGAAUCUAGGUCGCUCAUUCUAUCGCUCAACUCUGCCUCAGUCUCUUCUGCCUCAGAGAUAAUCAUCACUUCUCUGCCUGCGUGCCUAGAGAAUAGGGGGGCAUUUGGGACACAGGCUUAGCUUCCUAAUGAAAAUCCAUAGGCUAAGAUGAAUGCUGUGUGGAAUCAUCAAUACAUCUAUAAUUGUCCUCUCAAAGCACUUAAACAGACAAGUGCCUAGCAGUUUGUUAAAGUGAGGAUGACAUGGUAGAGUACUAAAAUGGACAAGAGUUGGAGAGACAUUAACCAUGUUUCCACUGGCUGUCUAUCUGGCCAUUUGUCACUGGAGUUAGGGUUGAGCUGAAUGUAGAGUUUAUAUGACUAGUCACGCAGUAACUGCUUCUAAUGCACCCAGAUCAACUCAACUAGGACAUAGAACUCUUUUGCCCUCACUGAUCUAAGUUGUGUUGGAUAAAAGCAUCUGUUAAAUUCCAUAUAUUCUUCUUUUAUUGGAAGAGCCUUGAAGAGCUGAAUGAACUAGUGAACUAGACAUAGACAAAGAAGAGCAUGAUAGAUGUAUAGAAACAUUGACUUACAAUGAGCCAGCCAGACAUGCAUUUGUCCCUGGCCGUCUGUCUAUAUCUGUGUGAAAUGGGUAACAGAAGGUGAGAAUGCCCCAGGGACAGCUAACUGAUGUUCUCCCCCAUAAGGGUGCAUGCUCAAGCCCCCAUCCUGUGUGGCUACGCACGCCUCCAACUCAAUCAUCAAGUUUUCAGACGACACAACAGUAGUAGGCCUGAUUACCAACAAUGACUAGACAGCCUACAGAGAGGAGGUGAGGGCCCUGGGAGUGUGGUGCCUGGAAAAUAACCCCUCACUCAAUGUCAGCAAAACAAAGGAGCUGAUCGUGGACUUCAGGAAACAGCAGAGGGAGCACGCCCCUAUCCACAUCGACGGGACAGCAGUAGAGAAGUUGGGAUGUUCCUCGGCGUAAACAUCACUGGCGAUCUGAAAUGUUCCACCCACACAGACAGUGUGGUGAAGAAGGCGCAACAGCGCUGAAGAAAUUUGACUUGGCCCCUAAAACCCUCACAAACUUUUACAGAUGCACAAUUGAGAGCAUCCUGUCGGGCUGUAUCACCGCCUGGUACGACAACUGCACCGCCUGCAACCGCAGGGCUCUCCAGAGAGUGCUGCGGUCUGCACAAUGCAUCACCGGGGGCACACUGCCUGCACUCCAGGACACCUACAGCUCCCGAUGUCACAGGAAGGCCAAAAAGAUCAAGGACAUCAACCACCUGAGCCACUGCCUGUUCACCUGCAAUAACAUCUGCUAAAUAUGUGUACUUGACCAGCACAAUUUGAUUUGAUUUGACACCACAGUUUUCUGGCAGCGUCAGACUGGCCCGAUUAUGUCUCUCAGUCCCCCGUCCCUCGUCACCAGCCCUCAGUCCCCAGGCAGAGACAAAGGACCCAUCCAAAGAUAGGGCCAGCCUCUCUUUCCCUCUCUGUUUGUCUGUGUCGCUCUCUAUUCAAUUAAAUUCAAGGGGCUUUAUUGGCAUGGGAAACAUAUGUUAACGUUGCCAAAGCAAGUGAAGCAGAUAAUAAACAAAAGUCAAAUAAACAAAAAUGAACAGUAAACAUUACACUCACAGAAGUUCCCAAAGAAUAAAGACAUUUCAAAUGUCAUUAUGUGUAUAUAUAUAUAUAUAUAUAUAUAUAUACACACACACACAAAAGGGAAAAUAAAUAACCCAUAUUUAUGCUUGUAUUUACAAUGGUGUUUGUUCUUCACUGGUUGACCUUUUCUUGUGGCAACAGGUCACAAAUCUUGCUGCUGUGAUAUUUGACCCAGUAGAUAUGGGAGUUUAUAAAAAUUGGGUUUGUUUUCUAAAUCUUUGUGGAUCUGUGUAAUCUUUGGGAAAUAUGUGUCUCAAAUACAUUUGGCAGGAGGUUAGGAAGUGCAGCUCAGUUUCCACCUCAUUUUGUGGACAGUGAGCACAUAUCCUGUCUUCUCUUGAGAGUGCCAUGUCUGCCUAUGGUGGCCUUUCUCAAUAGCAAGGCUAUGCUCACUGAGUCUGUACAUAGUCAAAGCCUUCCUUAAGUUUGGGUCUGUCACAGUGGUCAGGUAUUCUACCACUGUGUUCUCUCUGUUUAGGGCCAAAUAGCAUUCCAGUUUGCUCAGUUUUAUUGUUAAUGUUUUAUCUUUUCCUCUGUAUGUGUCUCUCUGUUUCCCUCUGUCUGUGCCUGCUGGUCAGCCUCUCUCUCUGCCUUUGUCUGUAUGUGUCUCUCUGUUUCCCUCUGUCUGUGCCUGCUGGUCAGCCUCCCUCUCUGUCUCUCCCACUGUCUUCCAGGUUCUCUCCCUUUCUCCUUCAUAGUCCACUGUGAGCCCAGCCACCUACUCCUAUAGCUAUCAGGCUCAACCACUUUCAAU
rnacentral:lncRNA from 13 species